rnacentral:rRNA from 1 species
UUGGCAGGCCUAAACAUGCAAGUCGAGGGGCAGCAUGGUCUUAGCUUGCUAAGGCCGAUGGCGACCGGCGCACGGGUGAGUAACACGUAUCCAACCUGCCGUCUACUCUUGGACAGCCUUCUGAAAGGAAGAUUAAUACAAGAUGGCAUCAUGAGUCCACAUGUUCACAUGAUUAAAGGUAUUCCGGUAGACGAUGGGGAUGCGUUCCAUUAGAUAGUAGGCGGGGUAACGGCCCACCUAGUCUUCGAUGGAUAGGGGUUCUGAGAGGAAGGUCCCCCACAUUGGAACUGAGACACGGUCCAAACUCCUACGGGAGGCAGCAGAAA